GUCUAUGGCCAUGCCACCCUAAACAAGCCCAAUGCCAUCUGAUCUUGGAAGCUAAGCAGGGUCUAAGCAGGGUUGGGUCUGGUUAGCACUUGGAUGGGAGACCACCUAGGAAGACCAGGUGUUGUAGGUG
ensembl:rRNA 5S_rRNA 5S ribosomal RNA